rnacentral:rRNA from 1 species
AGUUGCUGCUGGUUCUCUAAGGGAGCAUGUGCACGCUUGUCAUCUUUAUAUCUCUCCACCUGUGCACCUUUUGUAGCCUGGAUAUCUUUCUGAAUGCCCCCUGGCAUUUAGUUUUGAGGAUUGACUUUUGUCUUGUGUCCUGUGACAUUUUCAGGCCUAUGUUUCUUCAUAUACCCCCAAUGUAUGUUAUAGAAUGUAAUAAAUGGGCCUUUGUGCCUUUAAAUCUAUACAACUUUCAGCAACGGAUCUCUUGGCUCUCGCAUCGAUGAAGAACGCAGCGAAAUGCGAUAAGUAAUGUGAAUUGCAGAAUUCAGUGAAUCAUCGAAUCUUUGAACGCACCUUGCGCUCCUUGGUAUUCCGAGGAGCAUGCCUGUUUGAGUGUCAUUAAUAUAUCAACUUCCUCAAGUUUUUGCUUGUUGAGUGUUGGAUGUGGGGGGUAUUUUUUGCUGGUCCCUCUUUCUGAGGUCAGCUCCCCUGAAAUGCAUUUAGCGGGAACAAUUUGUUGACCGUUCAUUGGUGUGAUAACUAUCUACGCUAUUGACGUGAAGCAGGUUCAGCUUCUAACAGUCCAUUGACGUUGGACAA